UGCACACAUGACUGUAAGUCGCUUUGGACAACAGCGUCUGCUAAAUGGCAUUUU
rfam:Salmo salar isolate Sally breed double haploid chromosome ssa12, whole genome shotgun sequence.